rnacentral:rRNA from 1 species
UACCAGCUCUCCGAGUGGUAGGGAUGAUUAUUGGGCUUAAAGCGUCCGUAGCUGGCCUUUCAAGUCUCUCGUUAAAUCCAGCGAUUUAAUCGUUGGACCGCGGGAGAUACUGUUAGGCUAGGAGACGGGAGAAGCCGACGGUAUUUUCGGAGUAGGGGUAAAAUCCUAUAAUCCCGGGAGGACCACCAGUGGCGAAGGCUGUUGACUAGAACGCGCUUGACGGUGAGGGACGAAAGCUGGGGGAGCGAACCGGAUUAGAUACCCGGGUAGUCCCAGCUGUAAACGAUGCGAGCUAGGUGUUGGGGGUGGCUACGUGCCACUUCAGUGCCGCAGGGAAACCAUUAAGCUCGCCGCCUGGGGAGUACGGCCGCAAGGCUGAAACUUAAAGGAAUUGGCGGGGGAGCACCACAAGGCGUGAAGCUUGCGGUUC